UAAAUCUUAUUCCCGAAAGGCCAAUAUACGUGAAACAAUUUCCGUAUGCUUUAUCCGUCACCGACUUUGUGAAUAGCGAAAUAAGUAGAAUGUUGUCAGAAUAAAUUAUAAGGCCUAGUUGAAGCCCUUACAACUCACCAGUUCUGGUAGUCCCAAAAAAAGGAGAGAAUCAAGACGGAAGCCGUACCCAAUGCAAGACCCAUCAGUAAUACUAUCUAAUUUAAGGAAAGCAAGAUAUUUUUCAGCAACAGAUUUAGAAUCAGGUUUUCAUCAAAUAUUAAUGAAAGAACCUGAUGUCAAAAAACAUCUUGUUCAAUAAAUAAUGGAAAAUACGAAUUUUUAAGAAUGCCAUUCGGAUAUUUGUUAAAUUUGUUAAAAAUUUUCCAGCGAGCAAUGGAUGACAUUUAAAGAGAACAAAUAAGGAAAACAUGUCAUGUCUACAUGGACGACAUUAUAUUCUCAAAUUCGAUUGAACAACAUUAUGAAGACUUAAACAAAAUUAUAAAUAUAUUAUUAAAUACAAACA